rnacentral:rRNA from 1 species
AUUGAACGCUGGCGGCAGGCUUAACACAUGCAAGUCGAACGAGUGGCGGACGGGUGAGUAAUGCUUGGGAAACUGGCUUAUGGAGGGGGAUAACUACGGGAAACUGUAGCUAAUACCGCAUACCAUAGGAUGCGCCCACGUGGGAUUCGUUAGUUGGUGGGGUAAAGGCUCACCAAGCCGACGAUCCCUCGCUGGUCUGAGAGGAGGACAAGCCCCACUGGAACUGAGACACGGCCCAUACUCCUACGUGAGGCAGCAGGGGGGAAUAUUGCGCAAUUGGGGCAACCUGACGCAGCCAUGCCGCGUGAAUGAAGAAGGCCUUCUGGUUGUAAAGUUCUUUCGGUAGCGAGGCGUUAACCAAAGAAGAAGCACCGGCUAACUCCGUGCCAGCAGCCGCGGUAAUAG